CACGUAGGCACCAAGCGUUGUCCGGAUUUAUUGGGCGUAAAGAGCUCGUAGGCGGUUCGGUAAGUCGGGUGUGAAAACUCUGGGCUCAACCCAGAGCCGCCACCUGAUACUGCUGUGACUAGAGUGCGGUAGGGGAGCGGGGAAUUCCUGGUGUAGCGGUGAAAUGCGCAGAUAUCAGGAGGAACACCAAUUGCGAAGGCAGCUCGCUGGGACGUUACUGACGCUGAGACGCGAAAGCGUGGGGAGCAAACAGG
rnacentral:rRNA from 1 species